GGAAAGGAGGGGACCUGUCACAGGUAGAGGGAGCAGCGGAGCUCCCCAGGUAACCACGAGAUAAGAGAGCGCGAUCUGGCUUCGGAGCUUUGUCACACAGCUGCGCCGUGCCUACGUCGGCCUCGAGUCUGGGGCUGGAGGAGUUGCCUUUGGAGCCCGAAAGGAGGAAGGAAGCAAAAUAUCAACAACCGUCGAGGCGGCUUGGGCGCUCGGCUGCGUCCCCGCCGCCCGCCCGCCGCCGCCCCCGCGCGCACCGGGGGGUCCCGGUCCUGUGGCGCCGCCCAGGCCGCGUGGACGCGGCGCCUUCGCUGUUCCCCGUCGGAGCUGCGGCUUCGCGUGACCGAGGAUUCGGCGGACCGGGCCGAGGCUCCGGGCGCCGUGACACCCCGUCCCCCCACGGGCUGGAGGCUGUGCAUAGGUGUUCUGCAGACCAUGAACUGAUCACUAGUCCCAGACAUUCAUGAGCACAGUGUGAGGCUCCUGAUCACCACCCAGCAGCCCCUUCUUCUCUGGCACUAAGGACCCCCCGGAGAAGAUGGGGAGGAAAAAGAUUCAGAUCCAGCGAAUCACUGAUGAACGCAACCGCCAGGUGACCUUCACCAAGCGGAAGUUUGGGCUGAUGAAGAAGGCCUACGAGCUGAGUGUGCUGUGCGACUGUGAGAUCGCGCUCAUCAUCUUCAACCACUCCAACAAGCUGUUCCAGUACGCCAGCACCGACAUGGACAAGGUGCUGCUCAAGUACACCGAGUACAACGAGCCACACGAGAGUCGCACCAAUGCUGACAUCAUCGAGACCCUGAGGAAGAAGGGUUUCAACGGCUGUGACAGCCCAGAGCCGGAUGGGGAGGACUCACUGGAGCAGAGCCCCCUGCUGGAAGACAAGUACCGGCGGGCCAGUGAGGAGCUGGAUGGGCUCUUCAGGCGCUAUGGGUCAUCUGUUCCGGCCCCCAACUUUGCCAUGCCUGUCACAGUGCCCGUGUCCAAUCAGAGCUCCAUGCAGUUCAGCAAUCCAAGUAGCUCUCUGGUCACUCCUUCCCUGGUGACAUCAUCCCUUACGGACCCACGGCUCCUGUCCCCCCAACAGCCAGCACUACAGAGAAACAGUGUUUCUCCAGGCCUGCCCCAGCGGCCUGCUAGUGCAGGAGCCAUGCUGGGUGGAGACCUCAACAGUGCUAAUGGAGCCUGCCCCAGCCCCGUAGGGAAUGGCUAUGUCAGUGCCCGAGCUUCCCCUGGCCUCCUCCCUGUGGCCAAUGGCAACAGCCUAAACAAAGUCAUCCCUGCCAAGUCUCCGCCCCCACCCACCCACAACACCCAGCUUGGAGCCCCCAGCCGCAAGCCUGAUCUGCGGGUCAUCACUUCCCAGGGAGGCAAAGGGUUAAUGCAUCAUUUGACUGAGGACCAUUUAGAUCUGAACAAUGCCCAGCGCCUUGGGGUCUCCCAGUCUACCCACUCACUCACCACCCCAGUGGUUUCCGUGGCAACACCAAGUUUACUCAGCCAGGGCCUCCCCUUCUCCUCCAUGCCCACUGCCUACAACACAGAUUACCAGCUGCCCAGUGCAGAGCUAUCCUCCUUACCAGCCUUCAGUUCACCUGCAGGGCUGGCACUAGGCAACGUCACCGCCUGGCAGCAGCCCCAGCCACCCCAGCAGCCACAACCGCCACAACCGCCACAGUCACAGCCACAGCCGCCACAGCCCCAGCCACAGCAGCCACCUCAGCAACAGCCCCACUUGGUCCCCGUUUCUCUCAGCAACCUCAUCCCUGGCAGCCCCUUGCCUCAUGUGGGUGCUGCUCUCACAGUCACUACCCACCCCCACAUCAGCAUCAAGUCUGAACCAGUGUCCCCAAGUCGUGAACGCAGCCCUGCACCUCCUCCACCAGCUGUGUUCCCAGCUGCCCGCCCUGAGCCUGGCGAAGGUCUCAGCAGCCCAGCUGGAGGAUCCUAUGAGACCGGGGACCGGGAUGAUGGACGGGGGGACUUUGGGCCCACACUAGGCCUGCUGCGCCCAGCCCCAGAGCCUGAGGCUGAGGGCUCAGCUGUGAAGAGGAUGCGGCUGGAUACUUGGGUACUGUAACACUGCCCUUCUGUCUGCCGGUGUCUGCGUCACCCAGGGAUGCCCCACAUGCACUCAGCCUGUUUUCUUUCCCACCCGAGGCCUUGUGGCCAGGCAUUUCUUUGGACAUUAAAGUGAUGGUUCCCACUCCCUCCUUUCAGCCUCCCUGAUGAAGAGUUGACAAUCUCACCGCCCACCCCUCCCUAUCCUGGGCUCCUCCCGCUCGACCCCACUUCCUUUCUUCUGCUCCAUGUCCUGUUGAUGGUUACAUUUGUGUAUAAUUAUAUUAUUAUUAUUAUUAUUGUUAUUAUUAUUAUAUUUUUAAAUUCGAAUUCUCGCUUUAGAGAGAGGGAUGCUCUUGCCCCUUUCUUGCCCCCACCAUUUUCACUGAUGGGGGACUCUCUUUAUUGCGGGAAAGGGGGGACACUUUGCACGUUGUACACAUAUGCUGCAGGAAGGGGGGAGGCGGUAGGCCUUGGAGAAGGGACAGGUGCCGAGCCCUGCAUGUGGAGCCUCCCAUCCCAUCCUACCCAAUCCCAGAUAGACGUAAAGAACCAAAAACUACCCAACAACAAAACCCAGAGAGUGGACUGAAACCCAAAGCUGGCUUGACGAUGGGCUUGUGUCUCAGGGGAUAGGAGGAGGCAGAGUUUCUGCUUCUGGGCUGUUCACGGCUAAUACCCAUCCUGGUCCCUCCAGCUUCCUGCAUACGUACCACACUCGCUGAUCCUGUGUGUUACACCCCAAGAUCUGGGUGAUAGAAAGGCUGCCUAGGAAUCUGAGGCCAGGGAAGGGGCUUGAGGUAGGAAUCGCUAGAGAUAACAUGGAGAGAGACAGCUGUAGAAAGAGGGCUGAUGAGGACAGAAGGACUGGGUGUGGUGAAUCGGGACCCUACCCCCGGCUUUUCCUUUAAGAUGUACAGUGCAAUAGCUCCCCAUCCUUUAGCCUACCCCAAUCCUAAAGAAAGCUGGCCAUGUACUGGGAGAGUUGGGAGAGGACCUUCAUUGAAGUGGCUCCAGGGUGAGCCAGAGUCGUCCUUUGGUUCCCCGGGGCACUGAGAGCAGGAGACUUGUCAGGGGCAGGGUGGGGAGGGCACCUCUUGGCUUUGUGCACCUGUGUCCAGGAGAGUACCUACUGGGCACAUAGCAUGGUCUGUGGAGCUAGAGGCUCCUGUAGAUGAGGCCCUGGGCUUUCCCCAGGCCCCACGCUCCUGCCCCUGCCCCAGCUCCCAGCUCUCUGCGUGCUCCUUGUCUCGCUACCUCCUGUCCCUCCACCUCCAGGCCACAUCCCAAACCUGCCCUAUUGCUACUGUAAUUGUAAAUAGAGACCUUUCAAAUGUUAGUAGUGUAACCGUCCAGGAAACUUGUGUUUGUUGUUGUUGUAUUGAUAUGAAAUGAGAUUCUAUUUUUGUCAAAGUAUAUUGUAAUAAUAAUGACUCAAAUGGCCCGUACUGUACAGAUGAGAUCUUCUGCUGUGUUCUUGCCUUCCUCUCCAGACUAAUGCUUUGUUGCCUCCUCUGUGGGGCUGCAGCAAGCACCAGGGGCAGUGGAAGAAGCAUUGGGUCCUUGGACCUCUUGCUGGAUCUGAGGUCAGACUGGAGGGAAUAGCUUGCCCCCUCCCCAGCCUGUUGUCAUCACCCCUGCCCUUCCUCUGCUUCCCCAUCUGGGGAAAGGGGAUGGGAGACAGCACAUACUCCCUUGGGGUUCCUCCCAGCUGGAGGGUAGAGUUAGACAAGGCUCAGUGUUGUAGUAAGAUGGUCUUUGCCCACUUGUGACCCAGCCUUUUGUAGUAUUUUGACACUUGAUGCAGGGAAGGAGCCAGAAGCAGAGGGGUGUGAGCAUGCUCGUGGGGGCGUAUCUGGGUUCACCCUGUAUUUAUGUGUUUGUGUGCAGCUGUGCGGAUGUACCUUUGAGUGACUCAAGCUCCAAGGGCCUCUGUGUGAGCUGGGUGUGUUUACAAGGGAUCAGCGCCUUCCAACUCUGUGGCUUCACCCCCUCCCCGGGCUGCUCUCAGUCCCAAAACAUUUUACUAAAGUCAUGGGGGAGGGGUGCUAGUUGGCCUUCCUGCUUCUUCCAGCAGCCUACCUCCACCAGGGCUUCACAUUUGGAGCUCUGCCUCCAUAUGGCUGUCCACUAGCCCCACCCAGGCACGGUUCAUCCCUGGAGUUCUGACUUGUUUAUGGAGCCAACUCAAGUUCCUCUUGCCCAGAGCUUUGCCUUUUGUAAGGCAUGGACCCUCCCUUACCCAGAGUUUACCCCUGUAGCUGACCAGGCAUGGGGUGCUACCCACAUGCCUCACCUUCCCACUCCUCACAACUCCUGGAGGGAGUUUUGAAAGACGCCAGAGUUGUAGUCCUGUGCUCCCCUUGAAGUAGCUGGCACAUUGUAGGCCCUCAGUAAAUGCUGAAUGGGUGGAUGACAGGUGCUCAAUAAAUGUGGAUUCACGGCCUCAUCUCAGGCCCAUCCUUGUAGGCUGAGCUUGGCCACCAUUACAGCUGGGGGUGAAGCCCCUGUAGUUCACAGUGUGCUACUCAACAGUUUGCCAUCUGCUUCCUGAAAGCAAGCCUGGCUUGUGAUUGCCAUGUACGGAUGUGUGCGUGCCUCUGUGUGUGUGUGUGUGUGUGUGUGUGUGUGUGUGUGUGUGUGUGCGCGCGCACGUGGUGUCUGCACACACAUGUAUGAGUUCGGUCUCUGUCCCUGACUGUAGGGGCAGUCUGUGAAUGACUAUGUGACAUUUCUGCAGUUUAGUAUCCCUGGGUUUCUCCUGGGGCUAUGCAGGGGCUUCUGGCUGGCCAGGUUAAUGGAUCCCUGGGAACCUAGACCUCAAAUGGGGACUUAUUUUCUUCCUUUCACAAGCCAAAUUUGCCUCCUCUCCACUCCCUCUCCAGAACUGGGUAUUUGCCAAAGUAGCCUCUGGCGUCAUCCAGUGCCCUUCCACCCAGGUUCCCCUCUGCUUUCAGGGAUAGUGGGACCGAGGGCCACCCCACAUGCCUCAGUUUAGCACAUUUCCUCCAUCCCCAGCAGUGCAUCCAUCCAUCCCUCCCCAACUCGAACAGGAAGGAAGAAAGAAAUGCACCUUCUCUUGCUUGUUAUUUAUUUGUUUGGAGAGACAGAAAUGAUGGGAAAGUAUCUAAAAAUCUCUCUCUCUCUCUUUUUUACCUAACUCCCUGGAACCCCUGUGGGAUGUAGGCUCUCCUAGAGGCUGGGAGCUCCUUGUUCCACCCUGUUUGCCUCUACAUAAGCAGAAGGGAUGGGAUGUAAUGGGGUAGGAGGGCUGAGAUUCCCAAGGAGAUUCUCAAUUCUCUACCCCAUUCAAGUCCCAGAAAGAGGGAAGAAUGGAGGGAUGGGCCAGCCAAGAGCUGACCCGUCCCCAAACUUGACAAUCACCCACACUCCUGGCUCCUGGGUCUUGGGUGAGUCCAAGUGUGUGGCUGUUGAUUUGUUUUCAUUAUUUCUUUCCGUGCUGUACGGUGAUGCUUUCUAGUAUUCUGCACAUUAAGAAAAGUCCUCGAGAUUCUUACGAGUUUGGUUUGAAAACUCUUUCACUAUAUUUGUUGUAAAGAGGUUUACUAUUAAAAGAAAAAAA